CAAAUAUGACUUAUAAAGAAAAUAAAUAUUAUGAAAAAGUGCUAAAAAUUCCAUACUUUUCUUCUAAUUUUAAAUCAAAGAAAAAUUUUGAUUAUAUCUUAGAAAAAUUAAAACCUACAUUCGAUGGUAUGCUAAUCAAAGAAGGGAAAAUUUAUUAUAAUAAUGUCAACAACAGAAAUGUAACUUAUACAUCACCUUGUUAUAUUUUAAUUUGGGAUUCUGAUCGUCGUAUUUUUAGCCGAGGUCUCGGGUUUUAUAUUGGAUCUGGAGUUAUAAUUACAGCCAAACAUGUUUUAAAGGCAUACAAAAAUAAAAACGUAUUUGUUCUUUUCCCAAAUAAAAUGUUUUAUUUAGCCUACAGUAUUAAUACUGAUAACAUCUAUUUUGACAAUGAUUAUGAUAUUGCUAGAGUUAAAUUGGAAAUCAGUUUUGAUAAACUACCAAAUAUAAAACCUGUAGAAAUAGACUUAUGAAAUGAAAACAAAAAUCUUUAUUUUUACAAACUAAAAGCAGGGCGUUUUGUUAAAGUGAAAUGUAAAAAAACUAAAGAAUUAAAUCUUAAAGAAUUUACUCUUUCUAAAACGGGAAAUGAUGGAGAUAGCGGGACCCCUAUUUUUACAAGUUCUGGUAAAUGUGUUGCAAUGUAUAUUGGUGCAUUUACAAAAACAAACAGAAAAUGUAUACUUGGCAUAGGUUUACAAUUUGAUAGUUCUUUAAAGACAUCUCUUCAUUGAAUUUUCCUCUGUAGUUUAUAAUAUUCUAAUGCUUUAAAAAAAAAAAAAUCUCUUUUUCAUCACUGUUUCUCAACCCUGCUCCAAUUUCCCAAGCUCACUAAUGAGCUGGCUAAUUUUAUAGUGAGCGGGGAAGCAAAAAACAGGGUCACCAGGGGCAGGAUUGAGAAACACUGUAUCCCAUCAACAUAAAUUUGGAAGUGCAAAAAUGCUGUAACACAAUUGGCAUGGUUACAGUACCAUAAAGUGCUAAAUAUUUCCCAUUGUUUGGCUGUCUGGAGAGGAUCUUGUGCCUUGCCCAAAACAAAAUCUUGUGUCUUGUCGGUAUGGAGCUGGACUAUUGUUACAGAUGUUGCAGGAGCAGCUCUGAAAGUCAUCUGUUUCAAGAAGCACCUCCAGACUGCAUAUGUCACAUUUGGGUCAAGUUACAAUCUUUUUCCUCUCCAUAAAAUGGUGGUGGCCCGGACUCACUUGAUCAAAAGAGACGCAACAAUAUGUUGAAACAGGGCAUAGUAAGCACAACACCCUUACGCCAUUGCUCGGUGUCAUGUUGAACCACCUUUGGAUGACACGCGUCACUUUUGGGUCAAAAGAUAUUCCUCAUGAUAUUGAAGAUAGUUCUAUUCCUCAUGAUAUUGAAGAUAUUUCUAUUCCUCAUGAUAUUGAAGAUAUUUCUAUUCCUCAUGAUAUUGAAGAUAUUUCUAUUCCUCAUGAUAUUGAAAAUAUUCAUCAUGAUACUGAAGAUAUUCCUCAUGAAGUUAUUCCUCAUGAAGUUACUUUCUAAAUAAACAAAAUGAGAUUCUAAAUAAA